rnacentral:rRNA from 1 species
CAGUCGCCGCGGUAAUACGUAGGUGGCAAGCGUUGUUCGGAAUUAUUGGGCGUAAAGGGCGCGUAGGCGGUUUGACAAGUCUUAUGUGAAAUCUUCGGGCUCAACUCGAAGUCUGCAUGGGAAACUGUCGGGCUUGAGUAUGGGAGAGGUGAGUGGAAUUUCCGGUGUAGCGGUGAAAUGCGUAGAUAUCGGAAGGAACACCUGUGGCGAAAGCGGCUCACUGGACCAUAACUGACGCUGAGGCGCGAAAGCUAGGGGGGCAAACAGGAUUAGAUACCCGAGUAGUCCCUGUCUCUUAUAA